UGCCAAGCAACUCCUAUCCCUACCUCCACGCGGUACCGGCCGGAAACUAUGAGCAACCUUAGGGAAGAUCGGGUAACCAACCCCGGUGGGAACUUUGGUCGUAGGCUGACAGGGAAGG
rnacentral:ribozyme from 1 species